CAAAGAUUAAGCCAUGCAUGUGACGCU
rnacentral:rRNA from 1 species